rnacentral:rRNA from 1 species
GGUUAAGCGACUAAGCGUACACGGUGGAUGCCCUGGCAGUCAGAGGCGAUGAAGGACGUGCUAAUCUGCGAAAAGCGUCGGUAAGGUGAUAUGAACCGUUACAGCCGGCGAUGUCCGAAUGGGGAAACCCAGUGCAAUUCGUUGCACUAUCGUUAACUGAAUACAUAGGUUAACGAGGCGAACCGGGGGAACUGAAACAUCUAAGUACCCCGAGGAAAAGAAAUCAACCGAGAUUCCCCCAGUAGCGGCGAGCGAACGGGGAGCAGCCCAGAGUCUGAAUCAGCUUGUGUGUUAGUGGAACGGUCUGGAAAGUCCGACGGUACAGGGUGAUAGUCCCGUACACCAAAAUGCACAGGCUGUGAACUCGAAGAGUAGGGCGGGACACGUGGUAUCCUGUCUGAAUAUGGGGGGACCAUCCUCCAAGGCUAAAUACUCCUGACUGACCGAUAGUGAACCAGUACCGUGAGGGAAAGGCGAAAAGAACCCCGGCGAGGGGAGUGAAAAAGAACCUGAAACCGUGUACGUACAAGCAGUGGGAGCACCUUCGGGUGUGACUGCGUACCUUUUGUAUAAUGGGUCAGCGACUUAUAUUCUGUAGCAAGGUUAACCGUAUAGGGGAGCCGCAGGGAAACCGAGUCUUAACUGGGCGUUAAGUUGCAGGGUAUAGACCCGAAACCCGGUGAUCUAGCCAUGGGCAGGUUGAAGGUUGGGUAACACUAACUGGAGGACCGAACCGACUAAUGUUGAAAAAUUAGCGGAUGACUUGUGGCUGGGGGUGAAAGGCCAAUCAAACCGGGAGAUAGCUGGUUCUCCCCGAAAGCUAUUUAGGUAGCGCCUCGUGAACUCAUCUUCGGGGGUAGAGCACUGUUUCGGCUAGGGGGUCAUCCCGACUUACCAACCCGAUGCAAACUACGAAUACCGAAGAAUGUUAUCACGGGAGACACACGGCGGGUGCUAACGUCCGUCGUGAAGAGGGAAACAACCCAGACCGCCAGCUAAGGUCCCAAAGUCAUGGUUAAGUGGGAAACGAUGUGGGAAGGCACAGACAGCCAGGAUGUUGGCUUAGAAGCAGCCAUCAUUUAAAGAAAGCGUAAUAGCUCACUGGUCGAGUCGGCCUGCGCGGAAGAUGUAACGGGGCUAAACCAUGCACCGAAGCUGCGGCAGCGACACUAUGUGUUGUUGGGUAGGGGAGCGUUCUGUAAGCCUGCGAAGGUGACCUGUGAGGGUUGCUGGAGGUAUCAGAAGUGCGAAUGCUGACAUAAGUAACGAUAAAGCGGGUGAAAAGCCCGCUCGCCGGAAGACCAAGGGUUCCUGUCCAACGUUAAUCGGGGCAGGGUGAGUCGACCCCUAAGGCGAGGCCGAAAGGCGUAGUCGAUGGGAAACAGGUUAAUAUUCCUGUACUUGGUGUUACUGCGAAGGGGGGACGGAGAAGGCUAUGUUAGCCGGGCGACGGUUGUCCCGGUUUAAGCAUGUAGGCUGGUUAUCCAGGCAAAUCCGGAUAAUCAAGGCUGAGGUGUGAUGACGAGGCACUACGGUGCUGAAGUAACAAAUGCCCUGCUUCCAGGAAAAGCCUCUAAGCAUCAGGUAACAUCAAAUCGUACCCCAAACCGACACAGGUGGUCAGGUAGAGAAUACCAAGGCGCUUGAGAGAACUCGGGUGAAGGAACUAGGCAAAAUGGUGCCGUAACUUCGGGAGAAGGCACGCUGGUGUGUAGGUGAAGCCCCUGCGGGUGGAGCUGAGACCAGUCGAAGAUACCAGCUGGCUGCAACUGUUUAUUAAAAACACAGCACUGUGCAAACACGAAAGUGGACGUAUACGGUGUGACGCCUGCCCGGUGCCGGAAGGUUAAUUGAUGGGGUUAUCCGUAAGGAGAAGCUCUUGAUCGAAGCCCCGGUAAACGGCGGCCGUAACUAUAACGGUCCUAAGGUAGCGAAAUUCCUUGUCGGGUAAGUUCCGACCUGCACGAAUGGCGUAAUGAUGGCCAGGCUGUCUCCACCCGAGACUCAGUGAAAUUGAACUCGCUGUGAAGAUGCAGUGUACCCGCGGCAAGACGGAAAGACCCCGUGAACCUUUACUAUAGCUUGACACUGAACAUUGAGCCUUGAUGUGUAGGAUAGGUGGGAGGCUUUGAAGCGUGGACGCCAGUCUGCGUGGAGCCAACCUUGAAAUACCACCCUUUAAUGUUUGAUGUUCUAACGUUGGCCCCUUACCGGGGUUGCGGACAGUGUCUGGUGGGUAGUUUGACUGGGGCGGUCUCCUCCCAAAGCGUAACGGAGGAGCACGAAGGUUAGCUAAUCCUGGUCGGACAUCAGGAGGUUAGUGCAAUGGCAUAAGCUAGCUUGACUGCGAGCGUGACGGCGCGAGCAGGUGCGAAAGCAGGUCAUAGUGAUCCGGUGGUUCUGAAUGGAAGGGCCAUCGCUCAACGGAUAAAAGGUACUCCGGGGAUAACAGGCUGAUACCGCCCAAGAGUUCAUAUCGACGGCGGUGUUUGGCACCUCGAUGUCGGCUCAUCACAUCCUGGGGCUGAAGUAGGUCCCAAGGGUAUGGCUGUUCGCCAUUUAAAGUGGUACGCGAGCUGGGUUUAGAACGUCGUGAGACAGUUCGGUCCCUAUCUGCCGUGGGCGCUGGAGAAUUGAGGGGGGCUGCUCCUAGUACGAGAGGACCGGAGUGGACGCAUCACUGGUGUUCGGGUUGUCAUGCCAAUGGCACUGCCCGGUAGCUAAAUGCGGAAGAGAUAAGUGCUGAAAGCAUCUAAGCACGAAACUUGCCCCGAGAUGAGUUCUCCCUGAGACUUUAAGUCUCCUGAAGGAACGUUAAAGACGAUGACGUUGAUAGGCCGGGUGUGUAAGCGCAGCGAUGCGUUGAGCUAACCGGUACUAAUGAACCGUGAGGCUUAACCUU